ensembl:lncRNA
UUGGGUUAUUUUCCUUUAUUGCAUCAUUGUGUCAUGUGACUCAUUUUACUGAAGUAUUUCACACAGAAAACAACUCAUAUUCUUUGAUUUUCUGAUAAAAGUAUAAGACUAAAUUUAAUAUGAUAAAAUGUUUUUAUACAAUUGAUAUUAAUUACUAUAAUAUUAUAUAUAUUAUAAUAUUAGUUCAUUUAGCUUAUUGCCCUAUAUCUAUAAUCUAUAUCUAUAAUCUAUAUCUAUAAUCUAUAUCUAUAAGGUAACACAACCUUUGGUUUUGCUGCAGCACAAAGAAAUAAAUUCAGGUAAAAAAGGAACGAAAAAAACAUUGGAUUUAAAUAAUAACGAUACAUCCAAUAGAUAUAACUUGUUACAGAGGAGGAGCGAUAAUACUCUUAGUUAGCAUUAAGCUAAGAACACUAGCAUAAAGCUAACGUUAUGCUAGUGUUGCACACCUGCUACCUGCUGAGGUCACACUGAGGAGGCGGAGACGACACAACUCACCACGGUUUUAUUGUCAGUUUACAUCUCUUCAGGUCAGCAGGAGGGGGCGGAGUUUAUGUCACAUGACCGCCGCGUUAUUGCCCAGUUCAUCGCAGGUCAAACAACUCCGUGGUCAGAGUCCCCAGCAUGCCGAGCAGCAGCAGGCCCCACGGCGCCCGCCGCGGGCCGGCUGCGGCGAGUGGCGGGAGGUGAACACUGCGCGCGUCCGGGAUCAUGUCAGCGGCGUCCUGCAGCGCGCUGACGGCCGCCGCGCUGGAGUUGAGGUCCCCGCUGGCGAUCAGGUCGAACACGCAGGCCUGGUAGUACACGCCUCUGGCGGGGAGCAUCGCUGCGCAGUGAGCCUUUGCGCCGGCGACGGUCUGCGAGUCGGGCGGCGGCCCCGGUGGGCUGAGCGUGUUGAGUGUCUGGGAGGCGGGGCAUCCCCACACGCACAGCUGGAGGUCUUGCUCGGCCCCGAAGGCCUCCACCACGCCACGCGGCGAGCGCACCGACAGGCCCAGCGAUCUGGGUCGGUCUGACGGACCACCAGCAGCGUGCCGAUGUGAGUCGCCCGGAUCUCGGCGUGGCGCCCGGGGCUCUGAGUCCGGACCGUCAGGCUGUGGCGACCUCGCCUCUCGCCGCUGGCCACCGAGCCGUCGGCGAAGGCGGCCGGAACGUUGUUGAGCUCGGCUUGGUAGAGCUGCUGCUCCACGCACUGGCGCCAGUUCUUGAAGAUGAUGGUGAUCUGCGGAGCAACGAGAGCUUCAUGGUCAUUGGGGCCGCCCUCAGGUCGCCUCUGACAUCACGAGCUCAGACUCACCUUGGUGACGGCAGUGGCGUGCAUCCCCUCUCGCGCCGGCGCGCUCGUGGCCUGCACGUACAGGUACUCGUUGUCGAUUAGAGGCCACGCCUCCCGCACGCGCAGUCUGGAAGUCGUUGUUGAAGGUCCUCACGUGUGGGUCUCCGAACACGCCGCAGUGCAGGUACUCAGGCGCCCGGCCCUCCCUGGCGAGGAGGCUCUUCUCGUAGAGGCAGGCGUCCCCUGACAACGUGCCCUGGGGGGGGGGGCGUGGCUGGGCGGUGGGCCCGGCCCGCGGGCAGCGGUGCUGGAUCAGCAGGUCUUCAAUCCCCUGGACUGCCGAGUGAUACGCCAGGUCGCCGCGGCACGCCCGCGCCAUCCGCUUGGUGCACGUGGCGUAAGACCGCAGGGCGCCGCAGUAGCCGGUGUUCGCCGCCUCGCUGCUGAGAGCUGCUAAUCCAGAGGCUCCGUCUCUUCCUCCCGAGGCUCCGCCCCCUGCGGCGCUGUUCCCCAGGGCGUUCAAGGGGGGCCACAAAGUCAGAGUUACACCUCAGGAUGUGUUAGGAAGCUCCCACUGCAGAGAGGACGUGCGUAAACAUCUCCCCCUUGAUGAUGUCACAGUGAUGUCAUCGCAGUACAUUUUCUUCACAUGUGAGGGUCAAAGGUCAGAACAGAUUGUAAACUGAGUCAUUUGAGAUUUGGGCUGUAUGAUAUAAUUUAAUUUAACUGUUCAUCAAAUGUUUUUGUAUUUAAAAUGAUAACUGUCUCAACUGCCUGAUUCUAAGUUACGUGUUUAAUAUUCUGUACAUUCAAUCACAAAUUAUAACUCAAAUUAUAUUUUUUAAUUCUUCAGUAUUCUGAAGUAGUUCAGAUAAGGAUGGUGAUGCUCUGUUGACAACAGCUUCCCAUUGUGGGAACGUAUGACUGAGUUCACUCAGACGAACACUUUAUUGUCACAUGACACCAUGUUUUAUGUCUGACGCUGUUGGUUUGCACUCAAAGGCUUUUAUUUUGAAGGCCAGCCCACAGCAGUUAGCCUUAAGCAACCGGAUGCUAGCAGGACGUCUACCUUCCGGUGAAAUCAGCAGCACGGCCAGCUGCAACGUCAGGUGGAUGCCGGGGUUCCACGGUAACGCCAUCAGCUGAGGGUGGAGUGGAAGAAGAUGAUGACGUAGAUGAUGAUGUCACACUCACCUGUCCAGCGUCAGGUAGCAUUAGUACUUUAACUGUAUUGAUCCACAUUGAAUGACAUAAUUAUCCUGCUUCAGACCAGUUUCACUGUAUUUACUAUCAGACUGAUCAAUAGACUCAUCAAAGAAUAUAAUCAGGGCUAAGAACUGAAUCUUCAGGACUUUGAUGUUUCACUCGUUGACCUUCAGAUGUUUCCUGUGGAUCAAUAGAUCUCCUGAGUAUUGACGAAGGUCCUCACCAGGAGACUCAUGAAGGACCUGGACUGAGAGUGCUGUAACUUGGACCUCGUCUGUUUGCUCUGCUGACAAACAGACGGGGCAGCGUGGGCGGGGCUUACAGCGGCGUUGCUCAUUCAUUGAUGAAAACGCCUCCCAUGGGGAGAAAAGGGAACCUCAGUGAGAACGUCAUCCGUCUCGAGCUUCACCUUCAGAGGCCAGAGACAACUAGACCCCAGAGACAACUAGACCUUCAGGGGCCAGAGACAACUAGACCCCAGAGACAACUAGACCUUCAGGGGCCAGAGA